GCGUCGGUGGUGAAGCGGUUUAGCUAGCACAUGCUCCCGGAAAGAGUACAGUUGUGGGUUCGAAUCCCGGCUGACGCA